UAGCUAUUUUAAUACCAUGUGAAACAACAUAUCAAUUUACGAACUUUAGCGAAUAGCUUAAAAAUAUUGCAUAAUAUUUUAUAUUAAAUACUUGGAUCUAAUCUGUAACACUUCUAGGAUUUGAAACAGUCUCCUCUCUCUCUCUCUCUCUCUCUCUAUAUAUAGAAUUAGGCCGGAAUGUUAUCAAUAAUACCAAGCUAUUGGUGCUAUUAAAUUUUCGGCUUUUGGAUGAAAAAAUGUACGACUAAGAUGAUGUGAAUCCUCUUCGAUUGAGUUAUUAGUUUAAUAGUAUAAUCUAACAGAUAAAAAUAGUCAAAGAGUUAAACCUGAUAGUGAAAAACUUGAUAUCAACAAACGCUUGGUGCAUAAUAUCCCAGCUAGAUUCUCUCUCUCUCUAUAUAUAUAUAUAAU
rnacentral:lncRNA from 1 species